AAUCCUGUCAAUAUAAUUCAGUGACUUGGAAAAUUAUAUUUUUCAUACGUCACACACAACAGCAGACGGAGAUGGAUACAGAAAGAGGGCGCGUGAGAGCGGGACGGGAACAGCAGUGUGGCACGUCGCUCGAAUAAAUCCUUGCCGCGCAAAUAAAUAAUGAAAUUAUGGAGAUUAGAAAGUGUUCCAGGACGAUGACAAGGAUGCCGCCGCUCCCUUCUGUGCUCAAUUGAUUAUGGAUCGUUGAGUGUGUACAUCUGAACUCUCGCCAUCUCCGUCGCACUGCUUUGUGGCACAAACCCCAAUAAGCCGAGAGCCGUUUUGUCUUUGGGGAAUUAUGCAUAUUUAGUUAGCAAGAGCUCGUUUCGUUUCUUCAGCCGCUUCCCGCUGAGCGAAAGCCACAUAAUUUAUUUAUUAAUUUAGUUUAUUAAUAAAAUCUUUGACGCUAGCUUAA